CCCCCCUCACUUUCCCUCUGUCCUUCUCUCACACACACCCACUCAGGGUCGACAUCACGUGAGACGCUCUUGCACGGCGCACGCUCUCUCCCCCAUUCUCUACUACAGGCACUUUUUGCUGUCGUCGUUGCUUACGUGUUUUGCUCCCCUCCCCUUCCCCCCCCCCAAAUUCCAGGAUGUCUCGUGUGUCGAACAAGAUUAGCGGCGGCAGGGCGUGCCAGACAGUGAUCGAUCACGGCUACUACCUGAAGCCCAUGACGGGCAAUCCGUACCUGUGCACUCAGCACGACGGCGUCACGACGGCCUACCAGCAAGGCUUCGCUCCCAAGGACGCCCACUGGCUGUACCGCUUUCGCUACAAUCUGCUGCCGCAGGGUAUGUCAGGCGGCUUCUUCUCCCGAAACCCGUACGGUCGCUACGUGCACUGGCUGGAGGUAAGCACGAUUGAGAAGAUGCGCCUGCAGAUGCUGACCAUGGAAUCCGUGCCGUGCUCGGUUGUGUCCGUCAUUCUGCUGGUCUUCACCAUGUGGCACUCCUACCGACUUGCCUUCCUGCACCCAGACAUCACCCUCUACAACUUGGGUCUGUGGCCCACCAAGCCGUGGGUACAGCAGCAGCGCUUCAACAAGAAGAAGGAGUUUGAUCAAGAUGUGUACCGCUGGGUGUGCCGCGCGCCGGAAUUCAUGAUAGACGACCCGAUCCGCGACAUGUACAAGAUGGGCAUUGCCGCCAACGACCCAGUCCUCGCCAUGGCCAAGGAGCAGGGAGUGGCAAGCCAGAUGACCAUGGCCCAGGCCGAGUACACAUCGGCGGCGCCGGACAUACGCCGCGUCAUUGCCAACGCCCGCAAGGACGUCGAGCGCAGUACACAGUCGAGCACAGCGACGAGCGCCAUGAUAGGCGUGUAGGCCAUCUAAAGAUUCGUUUUAAAGUAAGCAAACAAGAUGAAGGAGGGGCACAAGAGGGACAACAGAUGGUAGAAAAAGGGGGCGUUACAGUCUUCUGUGAGGCGCGCGCAACCGACAACAACUGCAUGAGGCACACAAACCUUGCACGACAGUGAUGGCAAAUACGAAACGGGUGGGACGGGGGGAUAUGAGCCAAAAAAGAAGACUGGAAAGGAAGGGCAUCAAGAGAAGUGGAAAGUUCACUCGCACCCCUCCCCCACUCCCUCAACCCUCUAAACGGGAGCAGUAGAUCUAGCGCUCGCAAGGCAGUGGUGUGUUUUCGGCUGCCUCCACCGCGCUCUUCUCUCAAUCUCUGUCACGUGUCUCACACCUAGCUUUCCCCGCUCCGAUUCGCCCUUUCACGAGCAACUAAAAGGAGAGCAAGUAACGGUGGACUUGCGGCCCUGCUCCUCAUGCCUGAGCUCAAGCGACCUCGUGUGGUGUUCUCUCUCCGAAUCCCACAGAUUCGUUUUUGUUGUUUUCCGCCUUCUCGUGCGCAACGAGCUUUGCCCUGGGCACACGUUUCUAUUGUUUGUCGUCCUCCUCCCCCCUCACACCUUCACUUCCCUCUUUCUUCCGAUUUAUCCAGUGCAUGGGAAGCUGUCUCUGCGUUUGUGUGUGUGUGUGUGGUGUGUGCGUUCGAGUGCCUGUAGACUUUUUCUUAUCUUGUGUGUUUGUUUGUUCGCCUCUGGAUUUGUGUAUCUCCAAUGCCAUAUUCGGUGGCUCCCUCUCCUCCCUUCUUCUCUCUUUCUCAGUUGUUUCUUCCACUUCAUCCCGGAGGCUCAUGCCAAGGGCGGGGGCGCGCGACGCUAUGAGAAUGUCCCCGUUUUUUUUCUUGUCUUUCUUUUGCUUCUCGUGCCCCUCCCUCUCUUCCCCUCCCUGUGCCCUUGCCGCGUCUACACUGUCGCUGUGGGCUUCCGCAAACGAACGCGGUCGGGGGAGCCUUGAGCGAAGGAGAGAUACUCGGUGCGCACGCGCACCCGCGUAGAGGGGUGCAUAGGCGCUUGUACUCAGACAGACAGGCACUUGUCCUCACGCUUAAAUUUUCGUGUUUUGAGUUGCGUCAAGGUUCUCACUGGCGAGCGCGCAUCGCGAUAUUAGCCCAGAGAAGUGUUGCAUGUGUGUUUCGAGCAGAUGCAGCAGCCCUCGUCCUCUUUCUUUACUUGCCCAAGACGGCGCACUGCCCUUUGCCGACGAUGCCUGCCGCUGUCGUGCCGUUUUGCCGCCGCACGUUUUCUUCGGCAACGUCUUCUUUUUGUUGUUCGUUGAUGUCGCGUUUCCCUAUGUAUUGCCGUCUAUUUCGCAGUGUGUGUGUGUGGUGGUGGUGGCAUGCUGUCCUCAUCGUGAUUUUCCUGAGCGUCCCGACAUCCUUCGUGCGUGCUGCAGGCGAGCUGCACACUUGCCUUCUCCACCCUUCGCGUCCUCCUUCCUCCUCCACAUCGAAGGUCACGGGAGCUCCGCUCCUCGCCGCGUGUCUUCAGAACGUCCCGGAAAGAAACUAGAGCCGAGAGCGCGGGAGAGGCAUUCCUCUUGCAGAUCAACCACAAAAAGGUUUGACAGGUCGGCAAGAGCUCAUCGAUUCCAUCUACGUGUGCGCAGAAUCCUGCAGCCCUCGUCGUCGCCCACCUGAGGACGCCGUAAAUGGUAGCGACCUUUGUGUGCACGUGUUCAGGUUUAUGCACCCUUGAGGCCGUUUCGCUCGCUGUGCACGCGAAGUUGAUAGACGCAUCCAAAAUGCUGGGGAACGAAUGCGCGCAAGGUGGGCACCCAUAGAUUACCUGACGGUGGGCUGUCGACGAACCCGCUUGUGCCCUUUCCCACUUACCGCACGGCACCGCAGCGGCCAGUAAACGUGCGCCCAUACGUUGGCGGGCGUGCGUGAGCGUGAGUGGAGGUGCUGGGGCAGACGCCUUUGGCUGGCUCUGACCGAAAGAAAGCAUAUGCCUUACUGAUAGGGGUGGCCGUCGGCGAGAAAAUCGAGAAGAUGAUGCGCACAAAGUGGAUUAUAGGGAAGCGGCAUUAUUAUACGCUGCGGUUUGAAAGCACACGAUCACCGGCGAAACAUAAAGAGCGGAAGGAAAGGAGACGAUGGGGAAGGACAGACGCGACGGUGGCCGAGGCCGCGCGGAGAAAAAGAGAGAAGAAGGCAGAUGGCGUCCCGCGUUCUUCUUCCUUUUUCGCUUCUGUGCGUGUCCCACAUAGAUAUGACGCUACGAACGCAGCUCGCACGCCUUGCGGGGCGGUCGGCACUAGUGCACGACCCCCUCCCCUCCCCGAGCCCUGCACUGGUGUGUAGUUCACUGUGUGUUCGCCUUGUCACACUAGUGCUGGAAGAUGGCCCGGACCUAUCGUGUGCUCUCGAGUCGUCCUAUGUUGGUAUGCGUGUGUGCGCGCGUAGAAACGUUUAUGUCUUCUUUUUGUUUUCCCUGCGACGGGGUGUCCUGUGCACCGAAGCGCAGUGAGGCAACCAUGAUCCGACGAACAACAGCACACAAAAGGGAGCCAUGAGACGUCGGCGUUGGCGGUACCGCUUGCGUGUGCAUGCGUGCACAUGGAUGGCAGAGCUCACCUUCUCCGGGCGGUUAUGUUGUUGUUCGUGUUGCACGCUCUUCGAUUUCUAACGGGGCUGCAUGCUCUUGAAGGCAUACAAAGGAGAGAGAAGCAAAAAAGAAGAACGUUCUGUGGUGAAGGGUUGUCAGUGAUGUGAUCCAGCGCAACGUAUGUGGCGGAAGGAAACGAAGGCGUCUCGUGCGUGUGUGUGUGUGCGCGCGCGCGAUCAUCGUCAGCGAUAUGCUCUUGGCAAUGUUGUUGAUGUUGGCGUAUUCGAUGACAGUGUCGGUGUCUGUAAUCGACUUUGGCCUGUUUGGUUUGAAGAUCUGCUGACGCGUGCAUGAAAGAAUAUAUAGCGCACAUGUUUGUGUCCUGGAGAGGAGUUGCGCGAUUCUGGACACUUCUCUCUUUAGGUGAUGUGUCUUUUUUUCUUGUACCUCGCGCUGCUACCCUGAUGACGGGGGGGGGGGGGGGGCACACUUCUGUGCGUCGUACUGCCGCACGGCCAAUUGCACCCCCACUCCCUCGGAAAGCCUUGCAGCUCCCGCCCCCCCCCCGCUAUGUCCCUGUAAAACGUCGAACCUCACUUCCAGUCAUAGCAGGGACAAGUGCCUACGGCAUAGGGAACUCAGAGCGAUGCAUCGCUGUCGAUGGCGGCGGUUAGGUCCUGGGCGACGUGGCGUCGGAGUGACUUGCGACAGUGAACACGUUUGUACCAGCCCAUAUGGCAAGCGAAGUGUCAGCGUGACUCAAGUGUACCCCACACCCGGCUCUCGCACUGCCCACUGGUGCGGGGAAGCAUGAGUCCCCCCGCGAGAGGGAGAUGCUCCAGGGGUGGCGACCAGCAUGAUGAGGGAACGGCUGCGAGGCGACCUGCGGGGUGAGGAACGGGCGGGUAGGGCUGGAGGGCGGGGGCCGCGCCCCAUAUGGCCGAGCCGGCGCAGCUGGUGUGAUGCGUGCGUGUCUUUGGCAUGCUUCGCACCACACCGGUGGGGGCCUGAGGCAGGGCAGGGGUAGCGUGGGGUUGAGCUCGUGUUGUGUAUGGCAGAGAAUGCCAAAACCUUGAAGAAACAAGAACUCUCGCUGUUGAUAAUAAAUCUUCUCAUUUUUUUUUGCUGCGCAUGUCGUGUAUGAAGGAUGUGUCGCGGAGGCCGCGCACGCCGCGUCAGCGGCUUCUGCGUUUUUGGUGUGUAGGCAUGUCUGUCUCGGUGAUGGUGUAGCAUGGCGUGUUUGGUGCGUGUGCGUCGCUGGACAUACUAUUCUUUGUAGGAAUUAGUAGGAGAUAAAUAUACGCUUCGUGUGUAUGAAUGCAUGUCUUUCGUUUUAUUUUGUUUGCCAUGAUUUUCUAUUCGUUCGAAGUGG
rnacentral:misc_RNA from 1 species